rnacentral:lncRNA from 1 species
CUAGUACAAAGACUUGCAGGUGAGAGAGUUUUGGUAAUAUCCCACUAGGAAACUCCUUUUCACCACAUCCAUUCAUUCUAAGAUACCUCAGGUUGGUUAGGCAUUCCAUUCCUUGCGGCAUCUUUUCAAGUCGAGUACGAGAGAGAUCCAACCUCUUCAGUGCCCUGAGCUUCUUUAAUGAUGGAACAUAUCUUAAGUUGUCACACUUACGGAGCAAUAACGCAGUGAGACUCACCAAAUCAGAGACAGAGUCUGGCAAGUUUUCAAUACCUGUCCAAGACAGAUCGAGGACCUUGAGCCCAUGCAAUUGCUUGAAAAAUGAAUCCGCAAUAAAUCGCAACAUAUGAUUUUUACAUAGCAAUAGAGUUGAUAGAAAGGGACACCUUGGUGAAUAGCUGGAAGGAAUUUCUUCGAUCUCGUUUCUCAUUAGUGAAACCAUCGUCAGAUUCUCCGUCCACUGCUCUGCAUCUGGCAACUCUUUUAAUUGCGCACCUGCUUUAACCAUGACUUGAUAUUCGUCUUGCAGUAUAUGGAUGGCCAUGUCCCUAAUCAAGUCAUGCAUCUUGACACGUCUAAUAUCAUCAUAAUCCAUUUUAGCACUUUCCAAUAGGCAGACAUAUUCAAGUCUAUUAAGCAUCGUGUGGCCCUCAUCAAAUGCAUCUCCCCUGCUCCUCUUUCCUUUAAUUAUUCCCUCAUCGAUCAAAUAACCUAUCAACUCCUCCCUUUCAAUCUCAUCAUCUUCAGGAAAUAAUGCACAGUACAAGAGACAUUGUUGUAGUGCUAAAUCACCUAACCGAUCAUAACUAAACCUCAAUAACUUGAAUACCUUCUCAUCUAUGUCCCUAAAUUCUGAUUCUCUCAAUUUGUUCAAUGUAUUUCUCCACUCAUGUGGGUCAUCCACUCCCCUCAAGCUUCCUGCCACUGCAAUAAUUCCCAACGGCAAACCAGCACAUUCUCUAGCAAUAGCUUUUGCAAUUCCUUCCACUUUUGGUAAAAGUGUUAUGUCACGUUCAAGUUUUUCCAUGAACAAAGUCCAAGCUUCUCCCUCCGAAAGUAGCUUCACUUUGAUCUUGUGGUGGCAAGCCAUCCGAUGACAAACCGUUUCUGAUCUAGUUGUCAUAAUCAGCUUGCAUCCUUUCAAUAGCAUAGGAAUUCCCACUUCAUCAAGCUCAAAAUUGUGCCACAAAUCAUCUAAAAUGAGAAUCCAUUUUUGUUUCGUCCUUAAUUCUUCUGACAAUUUGGCAGCUCUAUGCACAUCAUCAUCUUCGUUUGCAAGGUCUAGAUGAAGACAUUUAGCUAUGAGAUUCUGCAAUCUAGUAAUGCUAAAAUCUUGAGACACUAUCACCCACCAAACAUGAUCACAAAUAUCUGGUCUUUGUAGAAGCUCAUUGUAGAUAUGUUUGAGUAUUGUCGUUUUACCAAUCCCCCCCAUCCCAUAAAUGCCAAUGGUUGAGACUUCAUCAUCCAUUAACAAAGACCAUAUCACCUUUGUAUUCUCUUCAAAUGCUUGACCCACUGGCUUUGUGGAGCUAGUAGGUAAUGGAACUCCUCUAGUCUCACAAGAGCUACCUCUCUCCAGAUGCUGCACUUGUUCUGUUCUCGGUAUAGUUUCAGAUCCAUCAUGCAGACGCUCCACAUCCUCAUCUUCCUGCAUUAAAUACGUAGAGAUUUCAUUCAGCUGCUGCUCCUUUGAAAGGGCAGAGUGUAUCUGAACCCAAGUGCCAUCAGCAAAUUGAUCCACUACAUCUGUUCCUGGUGUUGCUUCUCCUCUAUUCUCAUAAGGAGAGACACUUCUGUCAACAUGCUGAAAAGAUUCUUCACCAGUGUACUCCAUGCCUUGAACUCCCGCUUGCAUCCUUCCAGCAUCCCCUGCCAAAUUAACAAGUACUGCAUUGUCUUGUUCUUGAGGACAGGUGGAAAUGGCAUAAUCAUUAACAUUGCUUGAACUUGCUAUGCUUUUAUGUCUUUUGUUGCCACCAUUCAUAGCUAGAAAGGCUGCUUCUUGAACUUCUUUAGGCACCCGACCACAAAUGCCAACACCAUGCCUUCUCUCUCCUGAUAAAUGCCAUUUGAUCCUCGAAAUGGAAGUACCAUUGGCAAAUACAUGCCUACAAAACUUACACUUCAUGCUUCCAUCAUUCAUAUCUUCAACAUGAUUCCAAAACGGAUCAUUUGGUCUAACCAUUUUGUCCUAUAGAUAAAAAGGGUCAAAAUAUUGAAUAAAAAUUAAUGGAAGUACAUUAAUUGGAAAAGGAAGGUUGAAACUAAAAUAAUAAGUUACAAACGGCAAAGAAACUAAGAAGGAAAAAAAAUGAAUUCAAGGUUAACUUGGGGUCAAUUUAGUAUGAACUCCAUAAGGCAUGGAUUGUUACAACUGAGAAAGAUCAAAUUAUUUAUUUUUGGAAGCUUUUGAUGAUCCUAACUCCAAAGUUUCUCAUUAGAAUUUCUACAACUUGUGUUUUACUUGAAAGAUUCAAACCAGAGUUACAUGUGAAAAACAAAAUGAAGAAGAUGGAGUAUAAAUAAUUUACCUGGAUUCAAGUAGUUCUUCAAGUGCUGGUUUGCUUAAGUAGUAUUCAGGAAGAAAAACAAGAUCAGAGAAGAAUAUAUGGUUUAAAAAUAACAAGGAAGUUGCAAGAUGAUGAGCUCCAGAUGAUCAUCGGAAAGGUUUAAGAAAUUUGAUGAGGGAAAUUGGAAAUCAAUGGUAUAAUGAGAUGAGAUUUGGAAGAGAAUGUUACAGUAGCAAAGAUUCUUUUAUUGUUUGACAAGAAGUUGCUAGGAAAAAAGCCAUAACUUUCCUACCAAAGAUUAUAUUACAAGAGACAACAAGUUGCUGUACACCUCUAUUUCGCUUUUCAUUUGUCUACCGCUGCAUAUAAUUAAAAUCUUCAACAAAAGAAUCAGAAGAUAAAAAUUAUUUAAAAAAAAAACAUUUCUGACAAUAAUGCCAAACACUUUAACUCGUGGACCCACCCCAUUGUUGAAACUUUGAAAAAGCUGACCAAAGUCUAGGACUUCGAUGAUACUUAAAUAAUGUUCCUACCGUUACAUAACUUAAAGAAUAUAUAUAUACAUAACUUAAAGAAUACACACACACAAAGCAGCACAAACAAUAAUAAUAAUUUUGGAUGCAAAACAAGGUUUUUUUAAAAUUUUAAUCAAUUUUUUUUAUAAUUUAAUUUUUUCAAUUAUUUUUUAUUUCAAUUUUCUCGAUUUUUGUCUCAUCCCUACCCAUCAGUGUAUUAAUUAGCCAUUCCUUUCCUUGCAUGUUCUCCUUUUUUUUUUUUCUUUUUUUUUUUCUAUGGCGCAAUUGCCAAAAAAUACCUCUUUUUGUAAAGGAGACAGCCCUCCUUUUUCAUCGCGUCUCCAUGAUCCCACAUGUUUUCAUCAAAAACCUAAAUUAUAAGAAUUCUUAGGCAGCCACGUACAUGCUUCAGGAGUUCUUUUUUCAAAAUCCUCAUUAGAGAUUAAUUUAAAACAAAUUAAAAUAAUUAUGAUUAAAAUUAUUAAAAUAAUUUAAAAAUAUAAAAAAUUAUUUAAAACAAAUUAAAUAUUUUAAAAACACAACAUUCUCAAACAAGAUAACACGUCAAGAAUCACAACAAUCCGUUAUAUGAGUGGAAAGUUGUGAUUAAAAUACUAGAGUGAUCACUUUUAGAAUGAUUUUGACUAUGUGAAAGUGAAUGUGAUUGUUGUUAUUUUUUUAAAAUUUUUAAAUAUUUUUAUUUAAAAAUAUAUUAAAAUAAUAUAUUGUAUUAUAGAAUAACUCAAAAAUUAAUUCUAUGUAUUCAAUCUUCACAAACUUUAAUAUGUAUUAAGUUAGAUUUGUGUAAUUGAUUUAUCAAGUUUGCUUAAUCAAGAUGGAAUAUUUAUGAUUAUUUUAAUCUUUAGUGUCUUCUCUCCUGGUACAUGGUAAAAGCCUGGGCAUUUUUUUCUUUUUUAAUUUUAAUAAUAGUUCUGUUCUUUCUAUCCCAAGAAAUCAAGAAUGCUAGUUUCAUUCAUCAAGAUUCUAAAUACUAUAUACAGAUAAACUCAAGAAUGUAUCUUCUCUCUCUCUCUCUUUAUUUUUAAUCCAUAUUAUAUAUAUAUAUAUAGUUAAAUAAUUUAUUUAUAAUUAAUGAUAUAAGAUGAUUUAUAAUAGUGAAUAGAUCUAUUAUUUUUUUAGGUUACUUUAAUGGUAAAUCAAUAUAGUAUUUUUUUGGAUUUUCAUCUUGGAGAAGCUGAAUAGGAUGAAAAUAUAAUAUUAAUCAAACUUUAAAUGAUAAUUAUUUAUCUAUCGAAUAAGAAUAUCCUUGUUGAUUUAAAGGACUAUUUUCAUAUCAAAAAUAAUUAUGUUUUGCACCUGAUUUUUAACAAAAAUGAUUGAAAAAAUGAUAUAUUAUUGAAUAUGAGCAAAUUUAAGAUUACAAAAAUGAUUAGUAUUUUUACAGAUGCAUAAAAUUGAUAAAUGAUGCAACAAAUUAAGAAGGAUACGUAUUAUUACAUUUAACGCAGUAAUUAACCAUUCUACAUAUUAAUUGUUUCAAGAAAAAAAGGUCCUUUGGACAAUACCUUGGAAAUACAAUUCAAAAAUACCCUUUAAUUUCUAUUUUUUUUAUUUAGCAUUUUAUCCCAAUGAUAGGACAUUUAGAAUGCACUUUCAUACAACCAGAGGGAGCUUCAGUCAGUAGAAAACUUCAACAUCUACUGUGAAGCUUGAUUUGUUAUCCAAUCUGCACACCAGUUUUUAUCCCACUGCAGUAGAACUUUUUAUCUUUUUCCAAGUUUUUUUUUGGGUGAAUUUUUUUCUUUCAUCUCAAAUUAACUUGUGAAUAAAAAAAAUAAAAUUUUAAACCAAAAUAAAAAAUAAAAAAUAUAAGAUGCAAAAAAUUAUAGGGAUCGAAAUUUUAAAAAUCACGCAUAUGCUUCUUUCUAGUUUUAGUAUUAAAUUUGUUCGUAGAAGUUUCAUUUAUUUUUAAUCAAUUAAAUUGAACAAAAUCUUGUCAAGUCAAACAUAAACUCUUUAUUGAAUCGUCUUUUCUUUUUGGAUAAUAAGAGCUUCAUAAAAAGCUUAUUAAAAUAAAUUAUUAAAUGAAAUUAAAAACAAAAAUGCUUUUUUUAUUUAAAAAAAAAACAAAACAGAGAGACAUCUACCGUGUUUUCUCUAUUGGUACAUGAUAAAAGUCUGAAAAGAUUUUUUAUUAUUAUUUUAAUUUUAAUAAUAGUACUGUUAUUUCUACCGCCAAGAAAUCAAGAAAGCUAGCUAAUUUUAAUACAAUGCUAGAGUUCUUAACUUUGGGAGAAUGAAUUCCGUGAUGGAAUUGGAGGUGCUGCUUUCUAUUAUGCACUGAUCAUGAGAUGUGGAAGAGAAUGUUACAGUCGCUAUCUCUUUUACAUAAUAUUAUUUAUUAGUAAGGUCGCCUCAAUAAUAAUUAAUUAACGUAUUGUUUGAUAUAUUAUAAGAUAUAUAAAGUUAACGUGUGGACCCGCCCCAAUGUUGAAACUUGGAAGAAGCUGCCAAGAAAAUGUAAACACAUGAAAUUUUCUAAAAAGAAUAGCAUAAUUAAAAAAUAUAUUUUUUAUUUAAAAAUACAUUAAAAUUAUUUUUUUUAUCAGCACAUCAAAAUAAUUUAAAAAUAUUAAAAAAUAUAUUUUUAAAAAAAUCAAAAAUUUUAAAAAAAACAUUAUGACUGUAAAGAUAAACCAGUCAAUAUUCUCAAGGUAGCAAUUACUAAUUGGGAUAAAAAGAAAUUAAAAGAAAAAUUAAAGGUUUUGAGUCAACGCCAUUACCAAUAUUCGCUUGCAGGUGUGUAUGGUAGUUCUUAUGCUUCUGCCUUUGAGUGUGUAUAUUAGAGCAGAGUGAUUUUAUUUAACCAUGAAAUUUUGUGAGACAAAUUAUAGUGAAUGUUUUUCUAUUUUACCAAUAUACCCAAGGUCUUUAUAACAGAGUGAUGCUACAUGCUGAGGUGGAUAUUAGCAACAGAGGAAAGCAUACAAAAGUAACAAAAAAAAAACAUCAAAUGAAAAAAAAAAAAACAACCUUUAGAAACACGCGUCUUUGGAUUAACAUUCUUUUAGUUUAUUUUUUAUGUUGUUCAUAAAGACAGAAAAAACUUUAAAAUACAAAUUAAAAAAUCUUGAGGAAUUGAUUAACCAAUCCUGUUAGUUUUUUUUUUUUCUAUGAAGACAGAAAAAACUUAAAAACACAGAUUAAAAUAAAGAUUUAAUAGAGAAUGAAAUUUAAUUUUAAAUGCAAAUUAAAAUAAAGCAGAGUGACUAAUGGAGAAAGUACUUGGAAUUCUACAAAGAGUACAGCGUCGGGAAUCCUUGCACACGUUUGGUAUUUUAAUUAUUCUUAUUUCGUUUAAUAACUCAAUUGGAAGUUCAAUUCCCAGAAUUUCUGCUUUUGAAAAAUCAUUCAUCACUUUUAAAUAACGCAAAUGAUUAUUAAGAAAAUUCAACGACAACAAUAUACUCAAUAGCAAUAUUACAGUAAAGAAAUCAAAUCAAUACAGAUAAAUAAAUGAUCCAAAUAUAAUCAAAGAAUUAGUCCAUUUAAUAAAAAAAACAUUACUGAAUCCAUAAACUACAUAAUUCCCUUUUCUUUUUUCUUUUUUCUUCUUCUUCUCUGGUGCAUUUCCCACACGAAAUACUCAUUUCAAAUUAGGCACCCCCCUUUUUCUAAAGGAGGCAGCCCCCAAUUUUCAACCUCGUUUUCCAUCACGUCUCCAUGAUCCCCGUUGUGUCACAAACAAAUUUUCUAAAUUUUAGGCUUUAGGAGUUCCUUUUUUGAAAUCCUCAUUAGAUGCUAAUAUCUAGCCCUUCAAGAUACCUUUCCAACGCAUCAAGAAUCACAGCAAUCUUAUAUGUGAGUGGAAAGUUAUGAUUAAAAUACUAAAGUGUGUGGAGGCUGUUUCCAAAAAAAAAAAAGAACAUUACUACUACUUUAAGUGUAUCUUUUGAUGUUUCCGGUUUAUAUUGAUAUAUUAUUCAUGUGAAUAAUAUAAGAGAAUUGCACUUAAAAAAUAAUGAACAAUUUUUUUUUUUAGUAUGUUAAUUUUUUCAAUAUUUUUUUUUAAAAAACACUAGUUUAGAGUGAAUUAAAUUCACCCGCAUUGUAACAUCAAUUUUAUACUUGAUAAUAUUUUAUCUAAUUUUAUUACAUGUUCAAAAAAUUAUGAAAACUGUAGUUCUUGUCGGAUGUAUUUCGUACAUAAUGGAAUUGUAGAUGGUUUCAUAGAAUAAUAAAAAAUAUUUUAUAUAAAGUAUAAUUUAUUUCAUGAUUUAAUAGCAAUAGUUAAAUCUACAAUAUUUAAAUUAAAAAUCAUCAAUAUUAAUAUAUAUUUUUUAAAAUUAUUUUAUAAUUUCAAUUUCAAAAACAUUCUUAACCAAACACAUUAAAUUACUUUUUUUUCAACUUCAAUUUCAAUCACAAUACUAAACACACUAAAAGUUUUAGUUAUAAACUAGCCCAACAAAUCAUACCCAGGGAAGCAAAAGCCAGAAACAAGCUACCUCGAUUCUUGCUCCACCGGGGUAAGAAAUGCAGCAUGCCCACUUGGAAUUAUAGAGCGUCCAAAUUCCAUGGCAAAUAAUUGGUUGGAAUUGUUUUCUGAGGGGUCUUUUCAAAAUCUGAAAAUAAAAACAGAAAAUAGAUCCAGCAAAUGAUUCCAAAUAUCUUCUAAAAAGAACGAUGAAAUAUGUUUUUUUAUUUACCGUAAGGAAAGAUAUUAAUGAAAUUUUUUUAUAAAAAAAAUCAAUUUAAAAAAUAUAUAACAAGUCAAAAUCUAUACUUAAAAUCUUUCUCGUAUUAAAUUCUUAAUUCAAUCAAAUAAAAUAUUAAUUUAAUAAAACAUAGUUAAGUUUUUGAUAGUUGAAUAUUUAGUAUAACGGUGACGUACUACUUAUUAUUUCUAUUAUUUUUAUUCCAUUUUAGCAUUUUAGCAUUUCAUACUCAUCAAAACCAUUGGAACACAAUCAAGCUUUAUCUUCAAACAACCAGGGAGAUUUUAUAGGGAUAAAAUUUUAAAAAUCACGCCUAUACUACUUUCUAGUUUUAAUAUUAAAUUUAGUAUUUAAAAAAUGUGUUUAUGAAUAUGGCAGUUUCAGGUUUAGAAACCAAAACUGCCAUAUUCAUACUCUUUUAGACAUUUUAAAAAUAUGUGUAGAAGAAUACUUUCACUGAUGAGUUAUAAUAUUAGGUUACUUUAAUGAUAAAUCAAUAUAGUAUUUUUUUUUAUUUUUUGGAUUUUCAUCUUGGAGAAAUUCAAUAGGAUGAAAAUAUAAUAUUAAUCAAACUUCAAAUUAUAAUUGUUUAUCUAUCGAGUUAAAAAAAAAAUGACAAUUCAGUAGUCUUUAAUGAAAAAGAAAAAAAAAAUGUUAUUUAUGUAAUUGUAAGCACGCUAUAUUAUAUUACUUUACAAAGGGACGAAGGACACCCUUUGCAUUAGGAUGCUCCCACUGCACUAUUGUCUCCCACCAUUCUUUUGGAUAUGCAUUGAUUGUUUUAAGAGAAGGGGGAGGAGAUGGCUGGCCAUUUUCAAGCAACGAAAAACAAAUUGGCAUCCUCUUCAGCUUCUCACAACCCAUUACAGUAAUAUCUUCAAGAGAAUUGCAAAUCAGUUUUGCACUGCAAAUGCUUUUCAGUUCUGGUAAGUCUACCAAUUCCAGAGUUAUUAACUUUGGGAGAAUGACUUCCGUGAUGGUAUUGGAGGUGCUGCUUUCUUCAUCUGUUGUUCCUAUUAUCUCCUCCAUUUUGUAACAGAACCUCACAUCAAUCCUUUCCAGGUUUACGAGGUUUGGCAGCAACACAAGCGGGAACAGCUUCUUCAUACUUUUACAGCCAUGACAAAAAAACUUUUUAAGACCAGAAAACGUACCGUUACAUGAUGGCAAUCGUGGUGGAGCAGAGCAGAACCGAGAAGAUGAAACCAAGCUCUCCAUGUUAUUGCAAUCCCGAAUGGUGAUGCGCUCCAGUUCAGUUGCAUUCUCUAAUGACAAAACAUCACAUAAACUUCUUGCAUCGAUGCAUUGAAAAAUCAGUCCUUGAAUGCCAUUUAAGAACUUGACCUGAAAAUCUCUAUCUCCGUUGAUACUCAAAUUACUCAACACAACUGUUUUACUUGGAAAAUCUUCAAUGCAUUCAUAGAAAUGUCUACCCAACUCUCCUACUAAAAUCUUGCAUGUGCUUAAUGAUAGGAUCCCAUCCUGAGAUCUGAGAUACUUCACGAAGUCAGAAAAACCUUCGAACUGGCACUCCAAAGUUUCCAAAUUUCUCAAGGAUCCUACUUCAUUUCCUUUAACUGUUAUAGGAGCACCAUCUUGCCUAAACUCUUCUAGUACAAAGACUUGCAGGUGAGAGAGUUUUGGUAAUAUACCACUAGGAAACUCCUUUUUACCAAAUCCAUUCAUUAUAAGAUACCUCAGGUUGGUUAGGCAUUCCAUUCCUUGCGGUAUCUUUUCAAGUGCAGUAUGAGAGAGACUCAACCUCUUCAGUGCCUGGAGCUUCUCUAAUGAUGGAACACGUCUUAAUUUCUCACAAUUAUUGAGCAAUAAUGCUGUGAGGCUCACCAAAUCAGAGACAGAGUCUGGCAAAUUUCCAAUAUCUGUCCGAGACAGAUCGAGGACCUUAAGCCCAUGCAAUUGCUUGAAAAAUGAAUCCGCAAUAAAUCCCAACCAACGAUUUUCACAUAGCAAUAGAGUUGAUAGAUAGGGACACCUAGGUGAAUGGCUGGAAGGAAUUUCUUCGAUCAUGUUUUCCAUUAGUGAAACUCUCGUCAGAUUCUCCGUC